CAUAUGUAGCAGAUGUGGUGAACUCGGGCAUUAUAGAACUAGUUGUAAAGUUAACUUGCAAAGGUAAACAUAUGCACGGGUGGUGGAUGUAUUGGUUUGUUCAAAAAGUCAUAUCUCAUGAUUAAUGUUCAUCCACAACUGUUGCUGAUUGUCUUGUAGCUGCUGAUGUAUUACUACAUUUUAUGUAUUAAGACUGAUUGUGUUAAGACUGAUUGUGCCUUGUAGCUGCUGAUGUGUUAAGACUAAUGUAUUAAGACCGAGUAUGUGUGUGUGUUAUUGGUUAUUUGAUAUGGAUUGUUGU